ACGUGUGGUUGUACUUUGUCUUGGUCAGUUCCUUCACCUAAAACAAGACCACGCAUGAGUGUGUGUGUGCGUGUGUGUGUGUGAAAGUCAAAUAAAAAAAACCCCAAUGCAAAGCAAAUCGAAUCUGAAACCGCGUCUAAUGCGCAGAAAGGGACACAUAAUCUCAUUUAAGCCAAGACAAACCCACUCGGAUCGCGCGCGUGGCAAGCAUACUGGAACCAUACUCUAACAAGAGGACGUGCAUCUUCACACCGAGGGGUGAGGGAGGGAGGGCGCAGAUUGGGUCUUACAAUUCCCGUCACGUACCGUACGAGAGCGAUUGGAUUGGAUAUGGAGGGGAUUUCCGAAUGCGCCCGCCUGCAGCACGCAGACCGAAGGAGCGGAAGCAAAAUCGAAGAAAAUAGGAUUUUAAACUGCUUCAUUCCACCGGAUCGGUGGGAGAUUUUCUAACCAGCGUGGAAAUCGGUUCUACAUUUUUGCUUUGUUUUUGCCUUUUCCCUUUAAUGAAAGCAAACCGGAAAAGUGGUCAAACUGGUGUGCGGUGUGGCGCUCAAAUUCUGAGAACUAGUGAAGUGGUGUGAACCGCAGUGUUGCCGACACAGGAAUCGACGACACUCGGCCAGUGCACUUCAGCAUCAGAGGAGCUUCGCCGCUGGAUUAAAACCCGUAAUUGCUUUCGAAGUGGAGCUGCUGAAAGGGACUUUUUGUAAGCCGCAGUGCUAACUAAAGAUUAAUACGGAUGGGACGCGGCUUAGGCGCUGAAGGAACUAUUUUGCUGCGUUAGAUUAUAACCCGACGGCCCCAAGAUUUACUGUGAGAAUGUGCGUUUAAUAAGUUGAACGGAAUAUUAGAGAAUUUUAAACUUAUUCGUAAUUUUUGGACCGGAAAACCAUAAAAAAACAAUCCCAAAAGCCAAUACAUCCCUCAGAACUGGGCAAAGAAACUCUUCAGCUGCUUCUAGUCAGAGAGUGAGUGUUCCGGGUAAACUUUUAUGCAUUAAAAUUCCCAUCGUAAAAUCGAUUUACGAGUCUUGCAACGCA